rnacentral:tRNA from 1 species
GUCUUAAAAGCUAUCAGCAUUCUAAUUUGUAAUUAGAGGGAGAUCGGAGAAGUUUUCGGUUUAAGGCU